UACAGAGGGGGCAAGCGUUGUUCGGAAUUACUGGGCGUAAAGCGUGUGUAGGCGGUCUCGCAAGUCGGAUGUGAAAGCCCCGGGCUCAACCCGGGAAGUGCACCCGAUACUGCAAGACUCGAGUACCGGAGAGGUUGGUGGAAUUCUCGGUGUAGAGGUGAAAUUCGUAGAUAUCGAGAGGAACACCGGUGGCGAAGGCGGCCAACUGGACGGAUACUGACGCUGAGACACGAAAGCGUGGGGAGCAAACAGG
rnacentral:rRNA from 1 species